GAACGCUGGCGGCGUGCUAAUACAUGCAAGUAGAACGCACAGUUAUACCGUAGCUUGCUACACCAUAGACUGUGAGUUGCGAACGGGUGAGUAACGCGUAGGUAACCUGCCUGGUAGCGGGGGAUAACUAUUGGAAACGAUAGCUAAUACCGCAUAAUAUUGAUUAUUGCAUGAUAAUUGAUUGAAAGAUGCUAUUGCAUCACUACCAGAUGGACCUGCGUUGUAUUAGCUAGUAGGUGAGGUAACGGCUCACCUAGGCGACGAUACAUAGCCGACCUGAGAGGGUGAUCGGCCACACUGGGACUGAGACACGGCCCAGACUCCUACGGGAGGCAGCAGUAGGGAAUCUUCGGCAAUGGACGAAAGUCUGACCGGGCAACGCCGCGUGAGUGAAGAAGGUUUUCGGAUCGUAAAGCUCUGUUGUAAGAGAAGAACGGGUGUGAGAGUGGAAAGUUCACACUGUGACGGUAUCUUACCAGAAAGGGACGGCUAACUACGUGCCAGCAGCCGCGGUAAUACGUAGGUCCCGAGCGUUGUCCGGAUUUAUUGGGCGUAAAGCGAGCGCAGGCGGUUAGAUAAGUCUGAAGUUAAAGGCUGUGGCUUAACCAUAGUACGCUUUGGAAACUGUUUAACUUGAGUGCAGAAGGGGAGAGUGGAAUUCCAUGUGUAGCGGUGAAAUGCGUAGAUAUAUGGAGGAACACCGGUGGCGAAAGCGGCUCUCUGGUCUGUAACUGACGCUGAGGCUCGAAAGCGUGGGGAGCGAACAGGAUUAGAUACCCUGGUAGUCCACGCCGUAAACGAUGAGUGCUAGGUGUUAGGCCCUUUCCGGGGCUUAGUGCCGCAGCUAACGCAUUAAGCACUCCGCCUGGGAGUACGA
rnacentral:rRNA from 1 species